UUUCAACGUCGAGUUUUUUCACCAUUUUUUUCUUUCUUUUUUCCUCCAAAAUUCGGCCGUUUUCUUCGACGGAUUUCUCUCGCUCUCCCUCCCAACUCGGCCAAAAUUAUAACUUUAGCCGUACUCGACAUCCCCGUAUUGGGCCAACAGGCCAGGUGGGGGAAACUCGGGCUCUAACAAAGCGUUUAACUUCCCCACGGUUAAUUCUCCGGCCCUUUUUCCCCCCUUUAAAAGGGAUUAUUUCCACCCAACCAUAACCACCCGAAACAUAAAUAAAUAUAUAUAACCAGCCGAAAAGUCCAAAACGGCGACUCGACCCGACGAAAGCAAUUUUCUUUCCACCGAUAAACAAUGGAAAAGGAAAUCCCGGUAGAGGAAUGCGUACAUAAAAAUUGAGUAAACAUCUUUUUAUCGGAAGGCCAGAGGGACAACAACGCCCCGUGUACGGGUUGCGCACCAGAACAAUAGCCAACUGGGUGUCUUGUAGGUGUAGGUGGGUCUCUAUACCACCUCGACCGUGGGAUGACUCACCUAGCACGGAGGAAUUUACCGCUAAAAAUGCACUUUGGACGCUCCGUAUAUUUUUAAUUUUAUUUUGGCGUUCGAUAUCGUUCCGAACGUGACACGACUACUCGACGAGCGAUCACCAAGGUUAAGCGCUAAUUCCAGCUAAACUUUUCAUCAAAAAAUCGAUGGGGGAAAUGUUCCGAAAACAUUAAUGUCGAGUGUGUGUAUAACUAAUACCAACUAAAUGGAUUUAUAAUGUACUACCAGACACGGGGCGGUCGCGUGUCUUUUAAUUUCGACUCGGCUACAGAAUGGCGAAACAUUAAACUAUGGAAUUUUUCUAUCUCUUUCCUCGUUCGGACGUGGCAGAUAAAGCCACCAAAGAGUGGAGACGAAUAUUUACCACCACGCCCUUCGUAUCUGGUCUACCCGGCCGCCAAAUUGACAAUUUUCUGCUUAACCCGAGAAGGUCGGCCGACCCGACGUCACAUCCGGUCUAACAACAUUAGCAUGGGUGGCAGCGGGGCGCAGUAGACAAUUUUUGCCAGACGCCAGUUCGGCAGUAGGUCGAUGGUUAACAUCUGUCAUAUCGGCCGUGCGUGUUUAUACCCGAGCCUAGGUGGGUGUUUGUUUACGUAGAGAGUAUCGGAUGGCCACGCACACCCAAAUUCCAGGUGGUGUGGUACGAAAACAUCCACCGUUUCCUAUCGUUCGGAUUCGGAUUACACCAUUCGGAUGCCAGCUGACAAUUAGAGAAGAUAAAGAAAGCGGGCCAUUUGAAAAUAACAAGAAAAAAAAGCCACUUAUCGGUUAGGAACGGAAUUCAGACAAAGCAUCGAUAAUUCAAAUUAAGUUCAACAAAAAAAAAA
rnacentral:lncRNA from 1 species